rnacentral:rRNA from 1 species
UACGUAGGUGGCAAGCGUUGUCCGGAUUUACUGGGCGUAAAGAGCGCGCAGGCGGUCGUUCAAGUCGCGUGUGAAAGCCCCCGGCUCAACUGGGGAGGGUCACGCGAUACUGAUCGACUCGAAGGCAGGAGAGGGUAGUGGAAUUCCCGGUGUAGUGGUGAAAUGCGUAGAUAUCGGGAGGAACACCAGUGGCGAAGGCGGCACUCUGGGCCGGUACUGACGCUGAGGAGCGAAAGCGUGGGGAGCGAACAGG